rnacentral:rRNA from 1 species
UACGGGGGGAGCAAGCGUUGUUCGGAUUUACUGGGCGUAAAGGGCGCGUAGGCGGUCGUGACAAGUCACUUGUGAAAUCUCCGGGCUUAACUCGGAACGGUCAAGUGAUACUGUCGGACUAGAGUACAGAAGGGGCAACUGGAUUCUCGGUGUAGCGGUGAAAUGCGUAGAUAUCGGGAGGAACACCUGUGGCGAAAGCGGCGCACUGGACCACAUCUGACGCUGAGGCGCGAAAGCUAGGGGAGCAAACAGG